UUUGCCACUUGAUACCGAAAACACCUGGAUCGGUUUUGUUUACUAUUGUAGUAGUACAAAUUACAUGUUUGUUACAGACGACAAUAUAUGGCUACUCGGCUUUUCACAAUGCUAGUUAGUUCAUGGUCCAUGACAAACAUUAGCGUCACCUGUAAACUCAAAAAAGCUCCAACAAAUGCGUAUAAUGUGAUAGAUAUAAUUCCAGUAGCUGGCAUAGGCCACUCAAUUAUACUCACUAGAUGACGAUAAAAUUUUAUCUUCUUAAAUCAGGCGAUCGGGCACAAGUUAAAAAUGUGGUGUAAACGACACUUUACUUUCUGUUAAUAUAUCUUUCAGCUUUGAAACUAUAAAAAUGAUAAACAUUAAGGAAGUAAAGACAGCGACUAGGAGUUACCGAACACAAUGCUUAAUUCCAUGAUCAACCACACGAGUAAAUAAAACAAGCUGUUGCCGGAGGCAUCUCGGCGAUCUGGCGCCUACCGUUUGGAGGUUAAAAGCAAUCCUGUUGUUACAUGUAGCUGCUAGUCUGGGUUGCUUUGUAAGUUGUUUAGUACGACAGACGACACCAUUAAAUUAAAACUUAUUUCACUUCUCAUAUUUAUUAACUAAUUAAAAUAUAACACCGCCAAAAUUUUUCAAAAUAAAGUAUUUCAAAACUAACAAAGAAGUUAGUAUUAAUGCCAAACUUCCAUAGAACAAAUUGAGAAAGAUUAAAAACUUGGUGUAAGGGAAGUAGCACAAAGUAAGCGAAGUUCUAGCAACUGCAACCCAACGAGCAAACGAGCGCAAGCCAGCGGGUUUUGGUGUUCAGUAGUAAACAUGCACAACACACAAGGAAGAGAACCAACCUGUAACUUAGAUCUUGCUCGUGCUGACUUUUUUUACAAACGUCAAUCAUUUCUCUUGAUCUUUAUUAUAGUUUAACUGUCGCAAAAUGACCCAACGAAUAAUAGCUUUCUCAGAAAGAAAAUUAUGUGGUUAACAAUAAUAAACAAUAAUUUUCUUAUAACAAGAAAACCUUGGAAUAUUAAAUGUAUGUAUGUACAAUCAACUACUACUACCUCCAACCCAAAAUCGUUGCCUUGAUUGGUGAAUAGUGUAGCGCAUCUUUGUCGCGUCUCGCUUGCUCUAUCUGUAGUCCUUCCUGCUGUACCUGCCAAAUAGUGAUUAGAGAAUAUAAACGUUAAAACCAGUUAGGCAUUGUAGGAAGAAAUAUCAUAAGGGUCAACCGGGUCGAAGGCGAUUACAAUCUGACGCGCCACACGCUGGCACAGGUGACCAUCCUGCUCUAGUCGCAAGUAUACGAGGUCGCCAAACUCGCGUAGCGUCUUGUUGAACUUAAUUACUUAUUGUUCCGAGUGUUAUAACUUGAAAGCCGAUUAAAGAGCUCCAUACUAAAUAUUCAUUGGCUUCGACCGCUGCGUGUCUUCAGCUUCUGGAUUGUACAAAAAGAAACACUCAAAAGAAACAACACGAACGAAAAAACCAUCCAGUUAAAGCUUGAAAUCGUAACGCGUUGGUUAGAGAGAGCCAGAGAGAGAAGAAUAAACGGGACGGGAGAAGAGCUACCGUGUACGGUAAAAGACACCUGGCGAUGUUGACCUGUGGACUUCCCUUAAUUACAAUUAUUAACCAGUAGCAUGUUUAUCAUUUUGAGUUAUCUUAUUGCAGAGAUUGAUCAAGCGUUAUUAAUCUUAAAACUUUUGUUGUUGCAACCAAAGCUACACUACGUCCACAAUUGAUGGCUAAUCAGUAAUCACACAAAAAAAACAACCCCAAAUGAAAAAAAGAUUAUCUAUAUUUUGACCUUUAUCGGUAGAUGGACCAAAUCAUUAAAAAAAAACAGUUAACAAACCCGUUUAACAUCUAGAUUACAAACAAAUAGGGAAAGACAUAAAAGCUUGUUUUGGAUGAAAAUGUGCAAUUUUUCUGAUAAUGAGCUUCUUGAUGGUAUGAUUUGUGUCGUGGUAGGUCCAGUUGUUCAAGUUGUAAAAAUUAAUUAUAAAUAAAGCGUUAGUGCAGAGUGUCCAAAGAAAAAGCGUGGUCGGAGAUGACCUAAGGUCAACAACUUUUGCUGUCUCCGCCUACUCCGUGUCUGGUGAGUUGCACGACAGCGAGACUUGCGGGAUUGUCGAGAGGUCCAGGAGGAUCAGAGACAUGGGCCUUCUUAUAGGUCUUAAAGAAGACGCGAGCGCACCUCUUUGCUGUCGUCCAGUGCAGGAAAGUGCAAGUGCGUCUCCUAUGUACGAGUGAUCGUUCAAGGUCGGCGAGUGGUGCGCUAGCCUUGGCCGAGCGCGCGUUUGGCUCGCGACGCUCCAUAGUGGUUCAACAGUUGAACAGUUCAACUCCCCCGCUCCCGCAUGCAGCGCACGCUUCAUUGCGCGUCACACUAUUCAACUAUAAUGAUCAUGACUUUCCAACUCUCCAACAGACUCCAACUCCCCAACUUGUCUUUUUUUCCAAGCUCCUCGGAGACGGCCUGGACAGUGGAUCAGGGGACCGGCUGUCUCCCGGCUGGCUCCGGCAGCCAGCAGCCAGCCGCGUCCAAGACCAACUAGUUCUUACGCAACAUCAUAGAACGAACGGAGUACGGAGCGAACUGCAGCCUGGGCCGCCUGGGGCCUAGGGGUUUAAUCAGAGGCUAAUUACGGCAGGACAGUGCCCUCAGCCUCCGCUGGCCGAUGUUAUGCGAGAUUUCUUCCUGGACCGUGCUAUGAUUAGUGCACACACUUGCCUGCCGCUUCGGACACGGCCUGCAAACACCUAUCAUUAUGGACACUUAAUAAUUAAACAACCUCGCGCUGGAUGAUCCUGGAAACCAAAGACUAGCAUUUUUACGAGCACACGAGCAGUGUUUUGCUAGUAUGCUGAACUUCGCUUCACCGCAUAUGCAUCCAGCCUGCACCAGUAAAUGUCACACGUGCGUCGACACGUCGCGCGCCACAUGUGGAUGGGCGCGUGGUGUUCGGUCGUUCGGUGUUGCCUCAGUAAAAACAACUCCACAAGUCCACAUCCUCACCAUAAACGUUUGCCAACUUAGUGUGGCCACUCGUUCGCCGGUUCGCCCACCUGGCACACUCGGAUUCAACCUUCCAGUCAAAACAGUUGCGAGUUGCGACUUAUUAUACGAGACAAUGACUCGCAAUAGCGCAAUUCGGAGACUGUCACUUACAAACAUUAAAAAUAACAAAUACGAUGCUAUACUUUAAUAUUAACUAAUUUCAUUGUUGUACCAAGACUUUUAGAUAAAAUACACGGAAACUCGACAUAAAUUUUGAUAUUUGUA